AUCAAUCUGACAGAGAAUGUAGUGGGGUUAGGUUCCACGUAUGUAAGUGUGAGCCUUACGGUUGAUU
rnacentral:tRNA from 1 species